rnacentral:rRNA from 1 species
CCUACGGGUGGCAGCAGUGAGGAAUAUUGGUCAAUGGACGAGAGUCUGAACCAGCCAAGUAGCGUGAAGGAUGACUGCCCUAUGGGUUGUAAACUUCUUUUAUAUGGGAGUAAAAUGUUCCACGUGUGGGGUUUUGUAUGUACCAUAUGAAUAAGGAUCGGCUAACUCCGUGCCAGCAGCCGCGGUAAUACGGAGGAUCCGAGCGUUAUCCGGAUUUAUUGGGUUUAAAGGGAGCGUAGGUGGAUUGUUAAGUCAGUUGUGAAAGUUUGCGGCUCAACCGUGAAAUUGCAGUUGAAACUGGCAGUCUUGAGUACAGUAGAGGUGGGCGGAAUGCGUGGUGUAGCGGGGAAAUGCUUAGAUAUCACGAAGAACUCCGAUUGCGAAGGCAGUUCACUGGACUGCAACUGACACUGAGGCUCGAAAGUGUGGGUAUCAAACAGGAUUAGAUACCCGGGUAGUG